rnacentral:lncRNA from 10 species
GAUUCUCCACCUCCUCUUCAUCCUCCAUCCCCCUUUUACUUCUCUCUCCCCCGUCUCUCCUCCCUCCCGCCUCCUUUCUCCCUCUCCCCCUCCCUCUCUCCUCUGAAUAAGCAAGCUUUUGCCUCUAAAAGUCACAAGUAAUCCUCGUGUGUGACAGAGAGAGAGAGAGAGAGAGAGAGAGAGAGAGAGAGAGAAACGAGCUGGCGGAGAGGAGCAGAAGGCAGGAGGGGAAAUCUGGCACAACGGCUGGGAGAGGAAACUUGAUGCUUCUGGGCCACCAUUUGCCAGGGCCUCGCUCGAGCCGGCGCCUCGGUUCCUGCCCAGCUGGAUUUGGGGGGCAGCAUUGCCUGGCGCAGGGAGAUCAAAUGAGACUGCAAAGAAGCAUAAAAUGAAUAGACAAUCCAACCAACCAAAGACCGGGGGCAGCAGCAGGCCAGCAAGACGGCAUCUUCUCCUUCCCAGCCUAGAAGCCCUGUGAAAUCGAGGAUCUUCCCCCUAAAACACAUACACACAAGAUAUGUGCAAUCAAGCUGCCACCGCUUGGUAAAAAGCCAUGGUGCCUAACCAAAAAGGAUCAGGAACAGAUCCUUGAAUCAGCUGUCACUUCUAUAGAAUGGGAUUUUUUUUUCCUUCCUCCUUAACCUGCGCUGGAAAUUGCCGUUGGCUUUAUACAUCUCUAUAGAGAGAGGCUAAAGAGUCUUGCGUGAGAAAGAAGCAAUUUACAAUGCAAAUAGAGGCCUGUGAAGGGACGGAUGCUGCUGCUCACUCGUAACAGCUUGCUGCACCUUAAUAGCUGGUUUUAUUUUCUGAUAUUAAUAGAUGAAUUGUUGGCUAACGCUGCCGGAGAUUACUUGCUGAAAGGAAAAAGAAAAGUUCGGAAUAAACUCUGAAGGCAACAGAUCUCGUUUGGAUGUUUUAGCCGCGCACACACACAAACAGAAACCAGGUCAUAUUUACAUAAAAGGAGGAAUCUUAAGCGCGGCAAGUAUCCUGGACGACCACUCUUCGGUACUGCCAGAAAGGAUCAGGACCUGGAGUCUGGCAAGAGGAAGACAGAGGCCUGUGUGGGAAGCGAGUUGUUAUCUUUGGUUAUCUAGCUGUAUGAGUGUAUUGGUCUUCAUAAAGCUAGAUAACCGAAAGUAAAAACUCCUUCAAGAUCGCCGGGGAGCGUGUGAGAAUGAAAGACUACAGCCGAGAGACAGUAAAAACCAGAAAGGUCAGGAAUACUUAUUGAAUCUAACUUUGUUUUUGUUUUGUUUUUUUCCUUAUGAUUAAAGGUGGGAUGAGAGAAAAUUAAAUGACACACACAUGCUAAAAUAUCAAGGUUCCAGAUAUGUCUUGAGAGGGGUUGUUGCAGCUGCAAAGGAGAAGUGUAUAGUGAUAAUGAGUAAAGAUGCAUGUGCAGUUUGUUCUAUUUUAAGGCAAAAGUUAUAUCAGGGAUUUUUUUCUUAGAAAGGUGUUGCAGAGAUGUCUGGUACCUAGUUUAAAAAUGAUUCCAUAAUAUGUAGACUUGGGCAGUUCCUUUGGGAGGCACCUCCCUCUCAAAAUUUGAAGAUUGUGCUUGGAAAUUACUUUACAUGUAUUUGGGCUGUAUGUCAAUUUGUACGAAAUUAGACUUUCAGAAAAGUUUAUACUGGAAGGUUAAUAAUUUGUAUCUACUGAGGACUUAGAGCUAGCAGGCAAAAUGAAAAAAAAAAAAAAAAAAGCAAGGGCUGAUUUUUAUUCUUCUAUUCAAAAUACAAGGACAGAUGCUUCUCUGUUCCAAGAGGGUUUCCUUGAGGAAGCUACUGAAGCAGAAAGACAUGAUGGAGACGAGAUCGCCUCCCCUCUUGUCAAAGUGUUAAAAAAAUGUUCUGUCUUACUCUGCGCCUAGCAUUGGAAAUGAAAGUGACAUUUACGCCACAACCCACGUGUGCGCCUCCUCUCUUUUUGUUUAAGGAUGAUCAGGUCUAUCCAGGAAACAGCUCUGGCAUCCCAAACUGAAAUAAUUAGGACGUAUAUAGACCUGACAAAAAUGGAAAGGGGGUGGGGAAUCUGAGGGUCUGUCUUGCCUAAUUGAUUCCGCUAAACGGAAUGCAGGAGAUGUGAACGGCAGGACGCUCCGAUUCCCACGCUCGGGGGCAAGUGAUAAAGCGGGGCCGGGCAGCCUAUGACAGACAGCCCUGUUGGGGGGUGGGGGUAUGAAAAAAACAUCAAGUGCACACACCAUACUCAUCUCCAUCGCUUAAGAAAGUAAAGGCAUUUCCCACCCACAGCCAUCUGCAGCUUCCCAAAUGGCAGCACCAACUGGUCUGUAGCUGCUACAUAGUCUGCUUCUGUUAAUUUUUUAACCACUGUUUAAUCUGGCCAUAAUUAAGUUUGGCUUUCUUCGUUGUUUGAGAUUUUCAGAAUUCAAGGCAAGCUAGUAGAAAGCAAUUCCAAGAAAGUCCCAUGACUGCCUGCCCCUAAUGUCAAAAUCUCAGUCCAUGAGAUUAUGGCCUUGUGACCACAUUUUUGCUUUUGUUUUGGGUGGGCAAAUGUGUAUAGAGAUAAAAUACAUAUCUCUAUAUAACAGUCGUUAUUAUAAUUUCAUGAGGCUUUUUACCUCUUAACAUGAUACAUCUAGGAACUUGGUCUAAUUGUGCUAGUAGAUAUACACUAGAAGUAAAACUAUAAAGUCAUUAGCCUGUAGAAAGUUGAUUAUGAUAACAAUAUGAUAAAAAGUUUGUUUUGGAAUAGUCUCAGCUAGAUGGGUCUAAAUAGCCAUUUUAAUGUAAUCUAAAAAUAACACUAUGCCUAGCAGAAACUUUGGCGCUUUGGAGGUCCCCAUUGUCGCCUUUUCAUAAAAGUCCUUAAGUUUUCCAUAUGUCACCAAGCAAACAUUUGUAUAGGCAUUUACACAGAAAUAUAACCAUUGCAAUUAGAAAAUAUCCAAAAUAGCCUGUUAUCUUCCACGUGGCCUAGAUUAUUGACAAUCCCAAAUAUACAAUUUUUCUUUAAAAGUAGUACAAUUUCCUUUGUAGCUUCAAUUCCUUAUAUGACUUCAGACUGGAGAAGCCUGUUAAACCACUGUUAGUUUCAGUUAGAAAGUCUGAGAGACUUUAUACAUAAAUUCUCAAUUUGGCUGCUGUACACGUGCCAGAGUUUUACUACUGUAGUGACCGUUGAGAAGACCCUUGUUUAUUUACAUUUGAAGCACUGUUUGUGCAAACAACCUUUCAUUGUUAAGUGCCUGUAUUCCUUUCAUUUACUUCAUGUCCAGGGGUGCUAUUUACCUAGAACCAUUGUCUACUACAAUUAACAUUUACAUUACAAAGUGUGUGGUUUUCUUUUUCAAGGAGGUUCAAUUAAGGCAAUAAGAUGUUUGCUGGAGAAACCUAUUGUUUACUGAAAGCACUCAAUGAAGUCAAAUUACUGAAGCUUUUGCCUACAUCUUGGUCUUUUAUGUAAAUAUGUUAAAUAUAACAUCUAAGGAAAAUAAACAAUAUUAUAAUUAUGUGUUUGCCAUUGUCAUAUCAAACUUGCUUUGUAUCAUACUAAUGUUACAUAACUUAUCGAUCAAUAAAAAUACAUUUCAAUGUU